rnacentral:rRNA from 1 species
CGGACGGGUGAGUAACGCGUGGGUAACCUGCCUUGUACUGGGGGACAACAGUUAGAGAUGACUGCUAAUACCGCAUAAGCGCACAGUAUCGCAUGAUACAGUGUGAAAAACUCCGGUGGUACAAGGUGGACCCGCGUCUGAUUAGCUAGUUGGUAAGGUAACGGCUUACCAAGGCGACGAUCAGUAGCCGACCUGAGAGGGUGACCGGCCACAUUGGGACUGAGACACGGCCCAA